rnacentral:lncRNA from 1 species
AAAAGUACAUUUUUGCAGAAAGUUAACUUUUUUCUCUCUAACGCUUGAUACUUCAAGUGUAUUCCUAUUGCAAUGCUAAAAAUGUCACCUAUUGAAAUGAAAAUUAAACCUACUUAAAUAGUAGUAAGAAAUAACUGCUAUGAGGUUAUGGCUCAUUCAUGAUAUGCCAUGUGUCAGAGCCUGUCACCCACGUUGCUGGAAACUU